GCCCCAGUUCGGAUUGCAGCCUGCAACUCGGCUGCAUGAAGCUGGAAUCGCUAGUAAUCGCGGAUCAGAAUGCCGCGGUGAAUACGUUCCCGGGUCUUGUACACACCGCCCGUCACACCACGGAAGUUGGGGGCGCCCGAAGCCACUUAGCUAACCCUUUUGGGAAGCGAGUGUCGAAGGUGAAAUCAAUAACUGGGGUGAAGUCGUAACAAGGUAUC
rnacentral:rRNA from 1 species